rnacentral:rRNA from 1 species
GAUGAACGCUGGCGGCGUGCCUAAUACAUGCAAGUCGAGCGAACGGACGAGAAGCUUGCUUCACUGAUGUUAUCGGCGGACGGGUGAGUAACACGUGGAUAACCUACCUAUAAGACUGGGAUAACUUCGGGAAACCGGAGCUAAUACCGGAUAAUAUUUUGAACCGCAUGGUUCAAAAGUGAAAGACGGUCUUGCUGUCACUUAUAGAUGGAUCCGCGCUGCAUUAGCUAGUUGGUAAGGUAACGGCUUACCAAGGCAACGAUGCAUAGCCGACCUGAGAGGGUGAUCGGCCACACUGGAACUGAGACACGGUCCAGACUCCUACGGGAGGCAGCAGUAGGGAAUCUUCCGCAAUGGGCGAAAGCCUGACGGAGCAACGCCGCGUGAGUGAUGAAGGUCUUCGGAUCGUAAAACUCUGUUAUUAGGGAAGAACAUAUGUGUAAGUAACUGUGCACAUCUUGACGGUACCUAAUCAGAAAGCCACGGCUAACUACGCG